rnacentral:rRNA from 1 species
GAUGAACGCUGGCGGCGUGCCUAACACAUGCAAGUCGAGCGAACAGACGAGGAGCUUGCUCCUCUGACGUUAGCGGCGGACGGGUGAGUAACACGUGGAUAACCUACUUAUAAGACUGGGAUAACUUCGAGAAACCGGAGCUAAUACCGGAGAAUAGAUUGAACCGCAUGGUUCAAUAGUGAAAGACGGUUUUGCUGUCACUUAUUGAUGGAUCCGCGCCGCAUUAGCUAGUUGGUAAGGUAACGGCUUACCAAGGCAACGAUGCGUAGCCGACCUGAGAGGGAGAUCGGCCACACUGGAAGUGAGACACGGUCCAGACUCCUACGGGAGGCAGCAGUAGGGAAUCUUCCGCAAUGGGCGAAAGCGUGACGGAGCAACGCCGCGUGAGUGAUGAAGGACUUCGGAUCGUAAAGCUCUGUUAUUAGGAGAGAACAAAUGUGUAAGUAACUAUGCCGGUCUUGACGGUACCUGAUCAGAAAGCCACGGCUAACUACGUG